rnacentral:rRNA from 1 species
CCUACGGGAGGCAGCAGUGGGGAAUAUUGGACAAUGGGCGAAAGCCUGAUCCAGCAAUGCCGCGUGAGUGAUGAAGGCCUUCGGGUCGUAAAGCUCUUUUACCAGGGAUGAUAAUGACAGUACCUGGAGAAUAAGCUCCGGCUAACUCCGUGCCAGCAGCCGCGGUAAUACGGAGGGAGCUAGCGUUGUUCGGAAUUACUGGGCGUAAAGAGUACGUAGGCGGUUAUUCAAGUCAGAGGUGAAAGCCCGGAGCUCAACCCCGGAACUGCCUUUGAAACUAGAUAACUAGAGUCUUGGAGAGGUUAGUGGAAUUCCGAGUGUAGAGGUGAAAUUCGUAGAUAUUCGGAAGAACACCAGUGGCGAAGGCGACUAACUGGACAAGUACUGACGCUGAGGUACGAAAGCGUGGGGAGCAAACAGGAUUAGAUACCCUGGUAGUCCACGCCGUAAACGAUGAUAACUAGUUGUUCGGUCACUUGGUGACUGAGUGACGCAGCUAACGCAUUAAGUUAUCCGCCUGGGGAGUACGGUCGCAAGNUUAAAACUCAAAUGAAUUGACGG